UUAAAAAGUCAAAAUCACUAAAUGAAAAUCAACAAAUUUCACUAUAACAUCAAAUCGUCUAAGAGAAAUUAUCACCACACACGAUACAUAUUAAUCACAACAAAACAAUCACAAUAAAAUGCAAUGCUAUGCAUGAGCUUAGACUCUACUUCACAAUGUGGUAUCAUUCUAACUCUGAAGUACUUGGUUAAGAGGCUUGAUACUAUCCCACCAUCCCAGUAGACGGACAAUUCAAAUUGACCAUGUCCUCGUAGAUCCCCUCAACUCAACCCGAGACACAUAUACGUGACAGUCGAGGUAAACGUGUGUUGCAUGGUAGCUCCCGACAUUUGGAGUGCUACCUCCAAGUCACCUAGGAAUUCCCCACCCGAAUACCUCCAAGGUCUAAUAAUCUUGCAUUAAGGCUCAAUAGUAGACCGCCAAGAUCAGGCUCAUUUAGUUGUACUUCCCCG
rnacentral:lncRNA from 1 species